UACGUAGGGCGCGAGCGUUGUCCGGAAUCAUUGGGCGUAAAGAGCUCGUAGGCGGCCGGUUGCGUCUGCUGUGAAAUCCCGGGGCUUAACCCCGGGCGUGCAGUGGAUACGGGCUGGCUGGAGGCAGGCAGGGGAGAAUGGAAUUCCCGGUGUAGCGGUGAAAUGCGCAGAUAUCGGGAGGAACACCGGUGGCGAAGGCGACUUCCUGGCCUGUUCUUGACGCUGAGGCGCGAAAGCUAGGGGAGCAAACGGG
rnacentral:rRNA from 1 species